CUUGAGGGAGCCGAUCCACAGCGGGCGGUCGGCCGGACGUCCCUGGCCGUAGGUGGCGAGCAGGGCCUGGGCCUC
rnacentral:antisense_RNA from 1 species